CGGUCUACAAGCCUACCCAGUGGACCGUAGCAAACGUUGCUCAUCUAUCCAGCACACAUCUAGGUGGACACCUAGAUGUGUCCACCAAAUGUAUGAGGCUUUAAAAAAAUCCUGGACGAUUUUGAAAUUCCGCAAAACAUUUUUUAAAAGUGUCUCAAAAAGAGGGCAUGUCCGGGCAAAAGAGGACGUCUGGUUACCCUACGUACGGGAAACAGAUUUGAUUCCUACCUGUAACACUUUAAGGAAGUUCUCUCCAGUCACGCUGAAAGUAGUUCACUAGUAGUAGCGCUUUAAUUUGCAGCGUCAGAGAAUCCUGAGAAAUCUGAAUGCUGACUAAAUUCUCAGAAUUCGGACACUGCAAACUAUUGCACGCUAGUGAACCACUUUAAAAAAAACUUGACAUCGCGACCAGGCGACAAAUGACUGGUGAGAACCUUCUUAAAUGAACCUUUAAUGCUGCAUUUAAAUAUCAGAAUUCAGAUUUUAUCCAAGUAUUCUGACUUUAUUAUCAGAAUGCUGAAUUUGAUCUCAAAAUUCAGACUUUAUUAGCCUAUUCGAUUUCUGAAUUAAAAUUCUUGUGAUGAAUAAUCUACAUUUAUACAGUCGAUGUGCAGCACUUCAAUUCCCGUCAACUUUUUUUUUCUAACACCAGCACUUCCACAACUAUGCCCAUGUUCCUGACUGCUAUAUACAAAACCAUUUAUAGCGCAUCUAUUUUUCGGCUGGGUAGUGAUAGUCGCCCUAAAUGCAGCUUUAAUGUGGGCUCUGAUUCUGAAUGAAUGCCGCUGCUGAACUGUGUGAAUCAAUAAAGGGAACUGAAAUCUAAAGAAGAAACGUGGUUUUUAUGUCCAGCUGAAAGUGGAACAUUGCUGCCAUCAUGGGAAAUUAAUGUAGCCUAGGCCUAUUUUAAGUAGCUUUCAAUUCCUUGUUCUUUUGUUGAACAUAUCCCCCACUAGAUUCCCCCACACAGAUUUUGUACUGUAGAAACCUAUAUGGUGGAAACCGAUACGCCCUCUCAACCACAAAAUAUUUGAGUCACUUCUAUGGAAGUAAAUCUGUGCCAUCGGAUUUUGAAAAUAAAAAGCCAUUGAACUCUAAGCGAUGAAUAUUUAUGCAUUGAAAUAACGUAUCUGGAUUUGAAUUGAACUCCUAUUCAGCUUUAUUUUUCAAUGUUAAAAAUUCAAAAUCAAAUAUUCAACGCUAAAAAAUUCAACGUGGGGACAUUGAUUUCGUUGAAAUUCAAAUCCAGAUACGUUAUUUCAAUGCAUAAACAUUCAGUGGUUAGAAUUCAAUGGCUUUUUAUUUUCAAAAUCCGAUGGCACAGAUUUACUUCCAUACACUUCUCCUUCGUCAUGCUUAACUGAUCAUACCUCUCUCUCGUUGGUUACAAAAAUCUUACCAUGGA